AGUCCGCUCCCACGCGGCUCCACCCGGCCCCAGGCGGCGCUGAGUAUUUAAGCGGAGCUUCCAGGAGUUACACGCUUUCGCCUUAGUCCCCAUUCCUCUCCCAAAGGGGGACCCGCGGCAGUCGGAAAAACGCGGACACACGGAUCGCCCCAGCUGCGGACCGACUUCCCUUCCCAGGCAGGAAGGAGGGGCGGGAGAAGCGGUGCGCCCCACGGGCCGCGCAUGCGCCUCUCACAGACAGCCCCAGAGUGGAAUCCUGUUGCCAGAUUCGCCGCCACGCCAGGAGUGCGCCUGCGUCGUCGCCGGGUCCCUCCACCUCCACUUCCCCUCCCCCUGUCCCCCGCGGGGGCUCCGGGGCCGGCGGGACCAUGUUCACCAGCACCGGCUCCAGUGGGCUUUAUAAGGCCCCUCUGUCCAAGGGCCUUCUGCUCGUCCCCAGCGCCCUGUCCCUGUUGCUGGCCCUCCUCCUGCCGCACUGUCAGAGGUUUUUCGUGUAUGACCUCCAAGCCAUCAAGGACGACUUCCAGAUUUGGAGGUUGAUAUGUGGAAGAAUAAUUUGCCUUGAUUUGAAAGAUACUUUCUGCAGUAGUCUGCUUAUUUAUAAUUUUAGGAUAUUUGAAAGAAGAUAUGGAAGCAGAAAAUUUGCGUCCUUUUUGCUGGGUUCCUGGGUUUUGUCAGCCUUGGUUGACUUCAUCCUCGUUGAGGCCGUGUGGUAUUCCUUUGGCAUCACUGCGGCCGGGGGUUUGCCUUCUGGAUUCCUGGCACCUGUGUUUGCUCUGUUUGUACCAUUUUACUGCUCCAUACCAAGAGUCCAAGUGGCACAAAUUCUGGGCCCGUUGUCCAUCACAAACAAGACGUUGAUUUAUAUACUAGGACUACAGCUUUUCACCUCUGGUUCCUACAUCUGGAUUGUGGCCAUAAGUGGACUUAUAUCGGGCAUCUGCUACCACAGCAAAACGUUUCCAGUUCACCAGGUUCUCUACGUCCCCAGCUGGAUGGCAAAGUUUUUUUCUUGGACGCUUGAGCCCAUCUUCUCAUCUUCGGAACCCACGGCGGAAGCCAGAAUCGGGAUGGGGGCCACGGUGGACAUCCAGAGACAGCAGAGGAUGGAGCUGCUGGACCGGCAGCUGAUGCUCUCUCAGUUUGCCCAAGUGAGAAGACAGAGGCAGCAGGGAGGAAUGAUCAAUUGGAACCGUCUUUUCCCUCCUUUACGUCAGCGACGAAAUGUAAACUAUCAGGACGGUCGGCAGUCUGAACAAGCGUCCCCUCCUCUAGAGGUUUCCGAGGAACAGGACACGGCCCGGCUGUCCGAGGCCUGAGGGUCCCCUCCAGGGGGCUGCAGCCAGUGCUGAGACUAGGCCUUGGAGGCCUGUGUGGCCAACCUGUCAUCAGCUUCUUCUGGAUUCUAAACCGAAUUCGGAGUCCGUGGAGGGAAGACUCAGUACCAGCUGGAAGUUGUGGCCCAGCACCCUCACCCGCUGGCGGCGGGGGUCUGGCUCCAGGAUGAAUCAGGAUUUGCCAAACAGACACAUUGAUUCCUGCUGGUGAGGUGCCAAGAAGCAGCCCAUCUUGAGCUGUGCUUGAGGUGCUAAUGGUGACUAAGUGGUGACCAUGAAUGUAGCGAUGCCGCACUGUUUGAAGUCGUUAUGAUCGGCCACGUUGCUGGGCAGUGUCAUCGCGUUCGUGGUAACAGAGAGAAGACAGGUGGAGCUGCCCACCUCCUCCUGGGCCAAGUUAACUCCACUGAAGAUGGUGCCUCUUAACUGGAAGGCUGCAAGCACAGGACAGCAGCGGCCAGCCAGUGCCAGGCCUGCACUGGAAGGAGGUGGAUCCCGGGGUGCAGGAACGAAGAAAGCAGCCCCGGCGCCUUUUCUCAGGAGGCUCACGGCACAGUGACAGGAGCCAGGACACAGGGCAAACUUAGGACCUGUGCUGUCCCACGGAUGACAGCUAGUGAGAGGCGGAUUCUGCUUCUGCGGAGGAAGGACUUUCCAUCUUGGCCAGUGAGGGAGGAGUGUUUGUGGUGCUCUGGGAAAGGUGGUUCUUUCCUUGAGCGGGAAAUGAAAGCAGAAGAUUCCCACCUAUCUGUCCACACUGUCCCCCGGCCCAGGGAGUGGGUCUCCCACAUGUGUCGGCCCUUUUCCCCAGGCACCGAGCGACCCUCAGACAACAGCUGUCAGAUGUGUCUGACCACAGCCCACACGAGAGAGGCAGCGCGCAGCAGACACAUGUGUGCGUGAGAACGGAAACGGCGCCUUGUGGAAGGAGGACCCUCGCUGCAUCCUGGUUUGAACGCUGCUCUUGCCUCACUGAGUGUUCACGACCCACUAACGAGGCAUCGCAGCCUCACUUUGGGAAACACGAGCUAGAGCCCCCGCCUCUGAGAAGUGUCUCCUGGUGUCUGCUUCCGCUCAGCUCCUUUAGCGUCUCCCUGAGGCUCCUCGAGGGACGCGCAGUCUGGGUGUGGGCCGUGCACUUUCCCGUCUCCUCCCCUGCCACCCGCUUGGCCCCCCACCCUCCUCCUCCUUCUCUCCUCACUUCUCCCCCCACCCCUGCCCACGCCCACCCCGACCCCCACAGCAUCAGGCGUGUUCUGUCAGCUUCGCACCCAGGGCAUUGUUUUCUGCAGGAAAGAUCAGAAACGGUGACUAAGUCCUCAGUCCACAAAAGCCUCUUUAACCCACAUGUGAAAAUCUCAACACAUAUGAGAAUGUCGUUUUUCACUGUAUGUUAUUACAAACGUAUGUUUCAGCAGAAGUACAAACAAUAGGUUCCUUUGGCUGGUCUGGGGUCAUAAAUCCAUUUGUAACACAUUUGUAAGUGGGGAAUAGGGUAUGCCGAACCUUCCGUGGCCCUGCCUGCUUCAUUGGAAAUCGUAUGUUGAAAGUGCAGGAAACCUCUGUAUUUACAGAUUCGGGAUUUGUGGUCAAGAAAAUGCAAGCCUCGCCCUCCCUGCGCUUCCCUCCAUCCUUCCCCCCCGGUUCUGCCCCAGGCUUCACCUCCCUGUGCGCAGGGCUGCUGCCUGGAGAGCCCCCAGCCAGGACCUUAGCAAAUGUUGCCCCUCCCGAGAGAGGUUUACCGUGUCUGGCCGUGUGAUUCCAGGAACCUGCCUGCAUUUUUGUCAUCGGCAUCUGCAAGCAUCAGAAGUUAAUCUUCAGUUAAGCAACUGUUCACGUGCACAAGGAAACGCGGCUGCGACGUCGUUCACGGGAAUCCGAUCUGACGCUGAAGCAGCGUGCAGUCGUGUUGCGCGGCUCAUGGAGAUGGGAUUUUCCAGGGGUGACGCGUUAGAAGCGCUGAGAGCUUCAAAUAAUGACCUGAAUGUG